UGCGGGAUGAUUCAGCUCUCGAGGAGGUUUGGAAAUAUUCUGGGGAAGACAGCGAUCUGUAGAAGGUCCAAAUGAAAUGUGAGCUGUGCAAUCAGGGGCGCGGAAGUGCAGAGCGGCCCCAGGCGCCCGUCCCACCUGGGAGAGCUGGGUGGGCCUCGCAGACGACGUGCGUUGCCGCUGAGCCUUCACAGGCCUUAUGGAUUUAACCUAAAAUGGAAAUUACCCAUAAAAAUGGUGGCUUACUGCCUUUAAUAACGAGCUAUAACUGUAUUUUACCGAACUAGCAGUACCAUUGAGUAAAGAGGUGCUACCCCAUGCUAGGUAAUAUAAUUUCUAGAUUAGUCUACGGGGCUCGUUUUGUAAUCAAUCUCUAAACUUGCAGAAACUGGUCACGCCUAAACUGAACGUAUAGUUAUCUCCAACUGGAUAAACCUGGGACUUUCAACUGUGUUCUAAAUAGCUCUUUUGGGUAUUCACACAGAAAUCACCUGUCCUUGAUUUAGUCGGCCAAGUAGUUGAGACCAUUUCCGGCAUCCUCUAUGGGACUCUGCUGCAGAAGUGUGCUUUAUACAUGGUGUUUUUAUCGUGAGGGCCACCACAAAGACAAUACCACUCAUUCUCCAUGAAUGGAGGGACGCCCUCCUGCUCACCACUGAUCCCUCACCAUCUAGAAGUGUGCAUGGCACAGUGCGCGCUCAACAAGUAAACAUGAGCUAACAAGACCAACCAGGUGCCCGCUGUCCUACAGGAGCUGGAUCAUCCACAGCACACUUCACUGGGCCCGUGAUGUGCCAUCACCUCCUGAUCAUCCACGGCAGGCCUCCCAAGAGGGUGCCAGCAAACACAACACCGAGUCUUCCAGGGAAAGAAAAGAAUUCGCUGCCAAGGUAUUCCAGCCUGUUUCCAAGGAGGUUUGUUUGAAUAAGAUCCAGUUCUGUGCCGCCACCAUCCGCCUGUUCACCACGAGCUCCUCCUCCGCGGACACCUGGAUGUUUUGGACUUGACUUACCUCUGCGUGGAGAACCAAACAAGGCUCCUCGGAGAAGCAGAAAUGAGCAGGAGGAAGGAGCUGGGCGCCCAGGGAGGUGGCACUGAGGGGCUGGGACGCACGCAGCUCUGGAGGCUCGGCCACUUGAGAGCCAGUGACGUGGGCAGGCUCCUCGAGGGGCCCUUGUGGAGGUCUGAAAACUGAUUGGAAACCCUGUUUAUCCUUAUUUCCCGGUCUGGUCAGCGGAUUCCAGAAUCUUAUCUUCCCCGUUACGGAGAAAGCAUGGCUUUGAAACCGUCUCCUUGGAGAGCUCACUUGCACAUGAAGCGCAGCCCUCACUCCAAGCCGGCUGGGAAGCACUAGGACACAGAAGUGACAUUGCAUCAAAGUGGCACAGGAGAGUGGGGGUGGCUGGAAAAUCAUGGAAUCAAAGGAAAAUGAUCCAAUAUUUCAAAGAAAAUCAUGUCCCGUACAUUUCUGCUCCAUUACAAUAGGGGAAGUUGAAGCUGGUCUUACGCGGCUGCUGUCUUAGAUGUGGAGCUCUCGGAGUGCUUGAAAUGUCUUCUAUUUUAUUACAUAUACAAAGGAGCUCUUUAACACGGCUACUGUCUGCGACACGUAAGUCAUAUCUCAGUUUUCUUUGUCGACUAAAACCAUUCUGGACUGGAAAGUCCCGCUACUGAAGACUGCCUCUCGCCGGUGUUCCACAGGUGAACGGCGAAAUACGGCAGCCUCUUUAACGAGGAAACUGUCCAUUGACCAAUCUACCAAAAUUGUCCGCCUGUCUUAUGUUAGUACCACAUUUUUAUGAUUUUUAACACCUGCAAAAUACGCUUUCGUCAAAACUUAAAGCUGCAAAGUAAAUAAAUAAAUAAAUAAAAUUCGAUUGAUGAAUGGUUUUAGAAAGUAAAGUAAAGUUUCUGGGCUGUAAUUACUUUUUAACAAUUUAUCAGUGAACACACCAUCAUGAAGUCUCAUUAUCUGCUUCACAAAAACAAACCUAAAAUGCAAAGUUAAUGAACCAAAACAUCUUGCAAAUCUAAGACCAAGUUGACAAGACCAUGGCAAAUGCAUCCUUAUAAUGACUAGUCUUAUGCCCAAACUCCGAAGAUGAUAGCCUCUGUGGUUCUUGCAUGAAUGAGCACAUGAAGUAACGUGCACCACCUCACGGCCGGCUGUAAAAUCAUGCUGUGCCAUCUCCAUCUUUUCAUAUUCAUUCAGCAAACGCUUAUUGAGAAGCUCCUGCGUGCCAGCAAUAAAGCUGUCUCUGUGCUCGUGAAAUCAACAAUCAGAUGGGACACAAACAGGCAUAAGCGAUGGGAGGUCCUGCUUUAAAUUCUGUUUAUUGGGGAAAGAAUGGGGUAUCAUGGGGUGUAUAAAACAACACCUUGAUUGGGACAUUGGGGAGAUUUACCACAGAAGUGACAGUUGAACUGAUACCUGAAAAUAAAUAUGAAUUAUCCAAACAAAAGGUAAAAGUUGUUUUCACUGCUCUGGGUAGAGGAGACGGCAUGUGCACAAUCUGGGAGGCAGGAGAAAAGAGCAAGUUCAGGGACUGAAAA
rnacentral:lncRNA from 1 species